UACGUAGGGGGCAAGCGUUGUCCGGAAUCAUUGGGCGUAAAGAGCGUGUAGGCGGUUCGGUAAGUCGGCUGUGAAAGUCCAGGGCUCAACCCUGGGAUGCCGGUCGAUACUGCCGGACUAGAGUUCGGAAGAGGCGAGUGGAAUUCCCGGUGUAGCGGUGAAAUGCGUAGAGAUCGGCAGGAACACCCAGGGGGAAACCAGUGGACUGGCACGGUGCUGACGCUCAGGUGCGAAAGCGUGGGGAGCGAACCGG
rnacentral:rRNA from 1 species